AGUGAUCAGUGAGGUACUAAUCAGAGGAGUCUCGAGAAGUGCUGCUGGCUCCAGCACGCCUGCCAUCACUAAUGAUAAUACAAGACACUUCAAGUGGGACGUCCGCUGCGGCAGGAUGGUGAUGGCGCCCAGGGCAGCCUCCUCUUGGUCCCUUACCGGGUGAAUCUUUGCUCCCCACGAGUCGCUGCCCACCCACAGGAACUGGCCCGCCUUGCCCGCCUUCACCGCCGCCGCCAGCAGCCGCCUGGAGGAGGGGGAGCAGGGAAAGAAGAGGGUUGCUUCCCGCGUCAGGAGGCAACCAGUGCAGCAGCGUCUUCAGGCGGAGGCGCUUCUCGCUCCCUUGACUCUUCCUCUUCUUCUCCUGUUGAUGAUGUUCUCCAGGGACUGUAUCACCUCAUCUCAUCUCCCUUACGUGGAGGAGGAGACGAUCCGGAGACAGUCAGCCAAUCAGCUUCUACGCCACAAUGCCAGGCUUCUCUUCUCGCGGCUCCAAGCAUCCCUCCUCCAUCCCUCCCCUGCCGGUCUGCGGCUUAAUACCUCCCAGACAUCAACACCUGAGGCUGAGAUGAACGUAAGGAAAACCGCAAGAUUCUGAACCACCAUGUUGAAAACUAAUGUUUUUUUUUAGAUUCCUGUGUUUACGUGCGUUGUGCAUCUCGCGCACCAACGCCUCACCUGGGUCAGUGCGGGCUGAGGCUCAGGGCGUCAGAGUUCGGGUGUGUCUUCCCGAGCUGCAGCGAAGUGCAUCCGAUGUGCGACUUCACCUUUAGCACACUUGACUGGAAGGCGUCCGGCAAGGGCUGCUAUGAAAAUGUAACUGUAUGCAGAUUAACGACUCUUGACCGACUGACGAAGCUUCCCCCUUACCUGCCGGCACAGACCAAGGGCUGAGAGGAAGGAAGGAAAAGAUCAUUCCGUUCGUAAUUGUGAGCCUCAGGUAAAGGUUGUCUGUAAUUCCUUCCGCACGCUUCUGUGCUCGACAGCAAGAUAACCCCGUGGCGGAACAAGGUGUGCCGGUGGAACUUGCUGCCUUUGCCGGUAAAGAGUGAAGCCGAGGAGCACGUGAGUGUGCCAGUGGAGAAACAAACUCCUUCAUGGAAACAAGAUGAGGUGGACCGGAGCGAAGGAAAUUCUCUAACCUUCGUUAACAAGUUUACAGGCCCUGUUUUCAAAGUAUCUGGCCACAACGAGUCGGAGGCGGCGAGCAGACGGCGCGAGCUUUGGGCUUGGAGCAGCCAGGGUGGUCUGCUGGAUGACGUGGCGCUGCACAUUACUAGCAAGACUACGGGCGAAAAUUACUCGAAAAUUAAAAGGCAGACAGAUUCGCACCCCCGCACCAUCCCCCUUCCCCCCGUGCCAUCUGCCGUCUAUGUUCCCCAGCUUGCCACCACUGCUGAGUUUUUUCCCUCAUGGAAACCCAAACCCUUCCAUGUACUCGUUUUCUCCCUCCACGCUUCAUCUAGAUCCAUAUAAGCUGCUUACGACCUUCCCAGCACCUUCCCUGCCUCCUCAGCCUCACCCCCUAAUGAGCUUGAUGAGGAGCUGGUUCUACACCACCGUGCCUCACUCCGCCUCACAAUAUGAGCAUGAAUAACGACGCGCCUGUUUUGCCCGGCCACUGAGGUACAGGAAGGAGCCUCCACGCACACCUGCCCUGCUGAGGAAGUCCCGCCGCUACAUUAGAGACGUGUCAGUGGAUGAGUAAUGAACGCUGGUCUUCCUCCUGUUGGUGUUGUGGCUCGUGGUUGAAUGGAAAGUUUGAUCAACGAGGAUUUUAGUGACGAGCAGAGAAUGAUGAUGAAUGGUGAUUUAUCAAAACAUUUUUCUUGGGAUGUGCUUUGAGCUCCAUUGUUUUGGUCACUGUUCUGGCGCGGAGAAUCUAAACUGUGUGCAUGACUUACUUGUGUUUUGCUUCUUGACCCGUCAUUGGCCUUCUCAAGCUUACCUACAGUCGCACCUCCGCACUGGACGUGAGCGUGGUCAGGGUGAAGAAGGAUGCAGGAAGAGACGUGUUUCCCAAGAGGUGGCUGUAAUCAUGCAGUCGGCAACACUGUGCUCCGUAAAUCAGCAGGAUAAACAAUACAUUCUCAUUACUAAUAUAAGUGUUGGUAAUAGAAUAAUAAUAAUAAUAAUAAUAAUAAUAAUAAUAAUAAUAAUCUUCAUCCCCAAUAUCGUCC